rnacentral:rRNA from 1 species
CCUACGGGAGGCAGCAGUGGGGAAUAUUGCACAAUGGGGGAAACCCUGAUGCAGCGACGCCGCGUGAGUGAAGAAGUAUUUCGGUAUGUAAAGCUCUAUCAGCAGGGAAGAAAAUGCCGGUACCUGAUUAAGAAGCCCCGGGAAGCUACGUGCCAGAAACCGCGGUAAUACGUCGGGGGCAAGCUUUAUCCGGUUUUACUGGGUUUAGAGGGCGCGCAGGGGGUCUGUUAUGUCAGCGGUAAAAGCCUGGGGUUAAACCCCGGCCCGCCGUUGAAACUGGCAGUCUCGAGUGGGAGAGAAGUAUGCGGAAUGCGCGGUGUAGCGGUGAAAUGCAUAGAUAUCGCGCAGAACUCCGAUGGCGAAGGCAGCAUGCCGGCUCCACACUGACGCUGAGGCACGAAAGCGUGGGUAGCGAACAGGAUUAGAUACCCGGGUAGUC